CCUACGGGCGGCAGCAGUGAGGAAUAUUGGUCAAUGGACGAGAGUCUGAACCAGCCAAGUAGCGUGAAGGAUGACUGCCCUAUGGGUUGUAAACUUCUUUUAUAUGGGAAUAAAACGUUCCACGUGUGGUGUUUUGUAUGUACCAUAUGAAUAAGGAUCGGCUAACUCCGUGCCAGCAGCCGCGGUAAUACGGAGGAUCCGAGCGUUAUCCGGAUUUAUUGGGGUUAAAGGGAGCGUAGGCGGAUUGUUAAGUCAGUUGUGAAAGGGUGCGGCUCAACCGUAGAAUUGCAGUUGAAACUGGCAGUCUUGAGUGCAGUAGAGGUGUGCGGAAUUCGUGGUGUAGCGGUGAAAUGCUUAGAUAUCACGAAGAACUCCGAUUGCGAAGGCAGUUCACUGGACUGCAACUGACACUGAGGCUCGAAAGUGCGGGUAUCAAACAGGAUUAGAUACCCGAGUAGUC
rnacentral:rRNA from 1 species